CUUCAGCGACCCGAGCCACACCGGCCGGUCGGCGGGCCGGUCCUGGCCGUAGGUGGCGAGCAGCGCGUCGGCCUC
rfam:Kitasatospora cheerisanensis KCTC 2395 genomic scaffold scaffold00001, whole genome shotgun sequence.